GCAGGUAUAGUUAAAUGGUAUAACAUCUGGUUCCCAACCAGACAUUGAGGGUUCGAUUCCCUUUACUUGCUCCA
rnacentral:tRNA from 1 species